GAUCUGUCUUUCUGCUCGUUCCACACAGAAGAGGAACGAAUCGGUCGGCGGCUCGACGCCUCGUCUCCUAAGUCCUGCCAUCUUCCCCUCCCUCGCCUCAGUCGCCGCCAACCACCUCGUCUCCCUCACGCCGCCUAGCAGCCGGCUUCCGCCCCUAUCCUCUCCCCCAAAUCCGUCGACCUCGUCGCCCACCAUCUCCUCCUCACCUCAUCAGAAGAGAAGAGGGAGAUCGCUCAGAGAUGACCGGUGGCGCGGCCUUCCCGAUUGUGGAGCGAAUCCUACGUGCGUGCAACCAUCUCCCGUCGCCACCCUCCCUUUCAAGGUCCAUCUCGCUGCGCCUCCAACUGCCCAUCUCCGAGACCCUCCCUGACCAUCUAACCAACCGAGGGUGCAGGCCAGGUCGCUAACCUCACGGAAAAAAGUGCACAGUGGCAGAGGGGAGGUUGACGGAAUCGGUUGAAGGUCAUGGCUGGAUCCAGCCGCUCCGAUUCAGGCCCCGGUCACUAGCAGAAGGAGGUCAACGGGAUCGAUCGAAGGUCAUGGCUCGAUCCAACGGCGCGCGAUGCGGGGAUCACCCGGUUGAAGGUCGCGAUCAGUUUGCGAGGGAAAUCCAGCCAAGCAACGACUGCGGCGGCGGCGGCGGCAACUGCUCUCUCGCGCUGCGCUACGGCUGGCAGCCUCAUGUUCCACAUCAAGCAAGAUCUCUUCGUGGGAAGCCUCCUCUCCUUCCUGCAUAGUCAAAUAUGGGACCGGUUCCAGAGUCGAGUCUGGUGGCCACAAACAUCCAGCGAUUGCGCGGGCGAGCGGUUGCUCAUGUACAGCACAGCUUAUUUUCGAAUAGACCAGAAAAAAGGGCUAGCCUAUAAUUCGGCCCUAGCAAUUUCAUUUAAAAUUUGUUCCAAAAGUAUGUUGUGAAGUGGAACACUUGAUUCUUGGGAUAUUUCUUCUCUGAGGAUUUAAGGUACCAGAUGUAUACCUCACUCCGCUUCUGCUAUUAUUUCUGUCAUUUGUUCGGAAGUUCGGUCAGCAGGUGCAAUAGAAUUCACAUGCAAUGGUUAUAUCUUGAUCUUACUUUUUCGCAUACUUCCCUGUUUACAUGGAUGGAUGAAAAAUCUAUAUGAAAGCAAUAGUCUUUGGCUUGUCUGAAUUUGUAAAGCCAUGUCAUUUUUAAGAGUUAGUCAGAGCGCCAUCAGGAUUGGCGUGAAGGGCCGACUCAUUACCAGGAACUCGGCCUCCCUCAUGGGUCUAAACGAUUUCUUUCUUCUUUUGAGGUUCGGUUUUAAUCUGGAUUUUCUUGGGGGCGUUUCUUGGUUGUUGCAGGACGAUGAGAGACUAAGGUGGAGAUGGUGAACGAUGGGAUGCAAGAGCUCUUCUUGGAAUUUCAGGGGUCUACUGUAAGGAUUUCUCCAUACUGCAUUUGUUGUAUCGUAAGCACAGCAAGCCCCCUCUAAGAAUCUUCAUCAUUAUUACACAAAAAUAGGCAAGGAGCUAACACAAGGGGAGUCAUGAUGUUCCAAAUAGUAUGUUUCUGAUCUCUCUUUGACGUUCAACCAGGGUAGCACAAACAAGAGAAGACUAUAAACAAUGCAAGGUUUUGCACUCUUGAUCUAUGUUAUCUCUUAUAGAUCGAAUUCACUGUAGGUCACUACAAGGUUUCUGGGACUAUUGUACCUAAACAUUUAUUUCUUAAUACUUUGAAAAACUCAAAUCUAAAUA